rnacentral:rRNA from 1 species
UACGUAGGGGGCAAGCGUUGUCCGGAUUUAUUGGGCGUAAAGAGCGUGUAGGCGGCCGUACAGGUCAGCUGUGAAAACUCGAGGCUCAACCUCGAGACGUCGGUUGAAACCGUACGGCUAGAGUCCGGAAGAGGAGAGUGGAAUUCCCGGUGUAGCGGUGAAAUGCGCAGAUAUCGGGAGGAACACCCGUGGCGAAGGCGGGUCUCUGGACAGUUCCUGACACUGAGACACGAAGGCCAGGGGAGCAAACGGG